UACGAAGGGGGCUAGCGUUGCUCGGAAUCACUGGGCGUAAAGGGUGCGUAGGCGGGUCUUUAAGUCAGGGGUGAAAUCCUGGAGCUCAACUCCAGAACUGCCUUUGAUACUGAAGAUCUUGAGUUCGGGAGAGGUGAGUGGAACUGCGAGUGUAGAGGUGAAAUUCGUAGAUAUUGGGAAGAACACCGGUGGCGAAGGCGGCGACCUGGUCCGAUACUGACGCUGAGGCGCGAAAGCGUGGGAGCAAACAGG
rnacentral:rRNA from 1 species